UUGGCGGCGUGCUUAACACAUGCAGGUCGAACGAAAGGACGGGAAGAGCUUGCUCUUUCCCGGAAUUGAGUGGCAAACGGGUGAGUAACACGUAAACAACCUGGCCUUCAGGAUGGGGACAACAGACGGAAACGACUGCUAAUACCGAAUAAGUUCCAAGAGCCGCAUGGCCCAUGGAAGAAAAGGUGGCUAAUACCGCAUGAGACCUGAGGGUGAAAGCGGGGAUCGCAAGACCUCGCGCAAUUGGAGCGGCCGAUGCCCGAUUAGCUAGUUGGUGAGGUUAACGGGCCCACCAAGGCGACGAUCGGUAGCCGGACUGAGAGGUUGAACGGCCACAUUGGGACUGAGACACGGCCCAGACUCCUACGGGAGGCAGCAGUGGGGAAUAUUGCACAAUGGGGGAACCCUGAUGCAGCGACGCCGCGUGGAGGAAGAAGGUCUUCGGAUUGUAAACUCCUGUUGUUGAGGAAGAUAAUGACGGUACUCAACAAGGAAGUGACGGCUAACUACGUG
rnacentral:rRNA from 1 species